rnacentral:lncRNA from 1 species
GCUUCUCCUUGAGGAUGUCGUAGGUCACCACCUCAGCACAGUUGACGAUAGCAUUCCUCAUGAUGUUGGGCAAAGUUCCUGUUAGGAAGGCGGUGGGGAGGGAUGUGAAAUGGGUGGGGAGGGAGGAACGGGAAAUGGGAGAAAUGGAUGCCCUGGCUGCAAGGCCACAGGCCCCAGUUUUGGGGCCAGAGUGCCCCAUUCCAAUGGUCUCAGCCAGAGGAUCCCACCCCAGCUGAGCAGAUUCCACAUUUUCCUUUCUAGGGUUAACAACUCUCAGAUUAUCCAUGUUUUCCUCAGAGACAGAGAACAGAGAGGCCCACUUGUGUUCAUUUGGCCACAUUUGGAGGGUGAUCUGCAAUAGCUGUCAAAAUUAAAAUAUGCUUCCUUGAGACCCAGCUGCAGCCAGAAAAGAAAGUCAUUCAGCGAGAGGCUGAGCUCUUGGAACAGUGACAGAAUGUGGUGCCAGCAGGGCCCCAGGAAACUGUCAGGAUCAAACCCCUGGUUUCACAGGCUCCUGUGCUGAAGGAACUCAAAGCUAUACAGGAAAGCCAUCCCAGACAGCUGGCUGACAGCAAGGCCCUGGGGAAGAAGUGGGGGCCUGAUAGGGGAGGGGGCAGUUCUGAAAGGAGAUGGGAGCAGCCUCCACAGGCAAACCUGGCUGACUUCAUGGCAUGCAGCUUGCUCUUCCCUGUCAUCAAGUCCCAUGAGCUGAGGCUGUCAUAAGCUGAAGGACUAUUGAGAGCACACUGUACCACUUCCUGGGCACUGAGAAGAAGCUUGGUGGAGACCCUAGAGACUGGGACUACCUACCCCCUGCAGUUAUGCUCAUGAGAAACUGAGGCCCAGCGAGAGUUGCUUCUGGCAUCAGUAACAUUCAGUUAUUCUUUCUUUCAUGUCUUCAAUCUUUUUUAAUACCUACUUGAGAGGGGCGCAGAAAUAAACAGAACUCCGUUUUAGGCUUUCUCAGCUCAGAGUUAAGCCCUGGGAGGCAGAGAGAUCUGCCUAAAGAAUUAGAAUUGCCAGAAUGAGAUAAGGGGAGUGGAGUCAGGCAUCCCUGAUCUACUGCCUGGAUGUCAGUUUCCCACCCAUGAAAU